rnacentral:rRNA from 1 species
AAUGACGCUGGCGGAAUGCUUUACCAUGCUUAUCGAACGAUGAACCUAGCUCGCUAGGGCCGAUUAGUGGCGAACGGGUGAGUAAUAUAUCGGAACGUGCCUUGUAAUGGGGGAUAACUAGUCGAAAGAUUAGCUAAUACCGCAUACGCCCUGAGGGGGAAAGUAGGGAUCUUCGGACCUUACGUUAUAAGAGCGGCCGAUAUCUGAUUAGCUAGUUGGUGGGGUAAUGGCCUACCAAGGCUUCGAUCAGUAGCUGGUCUGAGAGGACGACCAGCCACACUGGAACUGAGACACGGUCCAGACUCCUACGGGAGGCAGCAGUGGGGAAUUUUGGACAAUGGGCGCAAGCCUGAUCCAGCCAUUCCGCGUGAGUGAAGAAGGCCUUCGGGUUGUAAAGCUCUUUCGCAAGGGAAGAAAACUUACUUUCUAAUAAAGAGUGAGGCUGACGGUACCUUGAUAAGAAGCACCGGCUAACUACGUGCCCAGACAGCCGCGGUAAUACGUAAGGGUGCGAGCGUUAAUCGGAAAUUACUGGGCGUAAAGCGUGCGCAGGCGCGUUUGGACAAAGUCAGAUGUGAAAUCCCCGAGCUUCAACUUGGGAACUGGCGGUUUGGAAACUUGACCAGACUUAGAAAUAUGUACAGAAACGGGGGGGUCACGCAAUUCCCACCGUAGUUAAACAGUGAAAAUGGCGUUACAGAAUGUGGAAGGAAUAACCAUGGGGCGAAGGCCACACCCUGGGAUAAAAUUGACCGCUCAUGCACGAAACCGUUGGGAACAAACAAGGAUUAAAUCCCUGGUUAGUCAACGCCUAACAUUCUAAACUUGUAGGUGAGUAACAUACUAACAACUAGGGAA